GUCCAGAUGUGAGGCACUGGAAGGGACUGGAGGGAUCUUAAUGGCUCCAAGUGUAUCUAUCUGAGACCAGAGAGGAAGAGAGUAUGCUUCUUUCCCACAUCAACGGGACCGAAAGGUUGAACUUCUUCAGCUCCUUUAGGACGGACAUCCUCUUGGCUAACAAUUACGCUGCUCCCACUUGAGACCCACAGCAUCGAUGAGGGAGUCCCACGGGGUUAAUAGGGGCGUUCACUUAAAAAAACAUUCAAAGAACCGUGUAGAUGCUGGCGCGCAAAAACAAAGGAUCCUACCAUCGACCACCGGAGGAACCUUCCACCG
ensembl:lncRNA